rnacentral:rRNA from 1 species
GAGUUUGAUCUUGGCUCAGAUUGAACGCUGGCGGAAUGCUUUACACAUGCAAGUCGAGCGGCAGCGCGGGGCAACCUGGCGGCGAGCGGCGAACGGGUGAGUAAUGCAUCGGAACAUGUCCAUGUCGUGGGGGAUAGCCCGGCGAAAGCCGGAUUAAUACCGCAUACGCCCGAGAGGGGAAAGCCGGGGACCGCAAGGCCUGGCGCGAUUGGGUUGGCCGAUGUCCGAUUAGCUAGUUGGCGGGGUAAGAGCCCACCAAGGCGAUGAUCGGUAGCUGGUCUGAGAGGAUGAUCAGCCACACUGGGACUGAGACACGGCCCAGACUCCUACGGGAGGCAGCAGUGGGGAAUUUUGGACAAUGGGGGCAACCCUGAUCCAGCCAUUCCGCGUGAGUGAAGAAGGCCUUGG